rnacentral:rRNA from 1 species
CCUCCAGACUCCUACGGGAGGCAGCAGUGGGGAAUAUUGCACAAUGGGGGAAACCCUGAUGCAGCGACGCCGCGUGAGUGAAGAAGUAUUUCGGUAUGUAAAGCUCUAUCAGCAGGGAAGAAAGGUGCCCCUUGGGCGCCUGGACGGUACCUGACUAAGAAGCCCCGGCUAACUACGUGCCAGCAGCCGCGGUAAUACGUAGGGGGCAAGCGUUAUCCGGAUUUACUGGGUGUAAAGGGAGCGUAGACGGCAGAGCAAGUCCGGAGUGAAAGCCCGGGGCCCAACCCCGGGACUGCUCUGGAAACUGUUAAGCUGGAGUGCGGGAGGGGCAGGCGGAAUUCCUGGUGUAGCGGUGAAAUGCGUAGAUAUCAGGAGGAACACCGGCGGCGAAGGCGGCCUGCUGGACCGUGACUGACGUUGAGGCUCGAAAGCGUGGGGAGCAAACAGGAUUAGAUACCCCCGUAAAC